GCCAGUAUGGUAUAGUGGUUAGCAUAUGCACUUGGGUUAUGUUAUGCGAUAUUAUUAAAAAUCUUUUUAAGAUCUUAGGUUCAAUUUCUAGAACUGCUG